rnacentral:rRNA from 1 species
UACGUAGGGGGCUAGCGUUGUCCGGAAUCAUUGGGCGUAAAGCGCGUGUAGGCGGUUCGGUAAGUCCGCUGUGAAAGUCGGGGGCUCAACCCUCGGAUGCCGGUGGAUACUGUCGGGCUUGAGUACGGAAGAGGCGAGUGGAAUUCCUGGUGUAGCGGUGAAAUGCGCAGAUAUCAGGAAGAACACCCGUGGCGAAGGCGGCUCUCUGGUACGUGACUGACGCUGAGACGCGAAAGCGUGGGGAGCAAACAGG